AGUGUUGAAGGUUUUGUUUUUUAUCCUUGUUAUCGCUUCGAAGUCUCUGGUUUAUUGUGAUGAUCGUAUCCCUGUUUCUUGCAAUUCAUUAGUCAGCAUAGGAAUUCUGAUGUCCCUUCUGUUGAUUCCAGUGCUUGUUGAAGUUGAUUGUUUUAGUAUUUCCCUUCUUGAUAAUUUGAAUUACAUCUUAAUAUUCUGUAUCCUCUUGGUGGACCAUUGAGUAAUUACCGACACAAGCUUUCAAGAUUUGGUUCGAAUGUUUGUGGCUGAACUUUUAAUAGGCAGUUAAUUCCAUACAUAUAUGAAAUUUCUAGAAUUUCUUUUCUCAUGAUUCCAUUUUUCUAAAAGAACAUAUUCGCUUGCAGCUAAAUUAUGUUUAAUCAUGAGUUGAGGCAUACAUAGUCUCACAAAUGCUGGCUUUUAGAAUGCUUUUACUAAUAAAAGUUGUAAAUUUUACCUUUAAAUUUUUGUUUUUUCCCUUUAUCUUGAUUCCAUUUUUCUAAAAGAACAUAUUCGCUUGCAGCUAAAUUAUGUUUAAUCAUGAGUUGAGGCAUACAUAGUCUCACAAAUGCUGGCUUUUAGAAUGCUUUUACUAAUAAAAGUUGUAAAUUUUACCUUUAAAUUUUUGUUUUUUCCCUUUAUCUUAUAUUUUUCAUCAAUAACUUACUUUAGCAGGUUCUAGGAAAAAGAUGUUAGUGAGAUAGGAGGAAGUUGCAAGGCUACAAAGUCGAUUUCUUGUGUCUUAACUGUUCCAUCUUUCAUUCCACUUUAAUGAACCAAAACUCUUUGAACAAUAAUUUGUGGAGCUUUUGCAAGCUAUAUAUGGUCAAAUGUUCUUUUCAGACAUAUGGCCAAUAUCAAGUACAUAUAGCAAUUGAAGGUUGAGCUCCCAAUGUGAAACUAUUUCCUGGACAGAAAUAUGUUCUGGGUUUGAAAGAUAGGUCUGUAUCUGCUUAUUUGAAAUGGGGAAGAUCACAUUAUUAACCAGAAACAUGAAGACAUGACUUUGUGGUCAGGGCUCGUGAUUUCUUCGGUUCCUUGAUCAUUUGAGAAUUUCAAGUAGAUUAGUGAAGGCAUAGCUUACCAAAUGAAUGUACGGUCGUUGCAUCUAAGAUUGCCUGUUAUUUUCAUGACAAUUGGUGCAACAAGGCAGAUCUCAGCUGUCUGAAAAACCAUGCUAACAAAAACAACCCAUCUGCUGACCUAUAGGUUCACCAUUGAACUUGACAUGAUUGUUGUUAGGUUGGGGUCUGCCAUGAAUAAAAAUAUGGAAAAAAAAAAGUUGAGCAUCAAAUUCUCAGCGAUCCAUUAUUUUGGUGUAUAAAAGGAAAAUGUCAAUUGAGAUUACUGGGGUGGUGUUGACUUUAGCCGGAUGAGCAAUUUCGACCACAGACCUAUUUCCAAGCAUGGCAGACUGCCGGUUGACAGCUACUACAUGUGAGCAAUGGUGACUUUAGAUCACCAGAGUUAGGCAGUGGAGAGGCAAACAGCAAUAAGGGGCAAGUUUUCACAGCCUGAUCUUGGCCAAUCAGAAUUUAGGUAGUGAGACAAUAGGGAGAGAGAGAGAGAGAGAGAGAGAGAGAGAGAGAGAGAGAGAGAGGCAGCUAACACUUAUAUAUGCAUAAUUUUGCAUUUAAUUGCAUGAAAACCUUGGUAGCAUGUAGACCUUAUAGCUUUUAUUAUAAUUUAUAUCUAGAGAGAGAGAGAGAGAGAGAGGCAGCUAACACUUAUAUACACAUAAUUUUGCAUUUAAUUGCAUGAAAACCUUGGUAACAUGUAGACCUUAUAGCUUUUAUUAUAAUUUAUAUCUAGAGAGAGAGAGAGAGAGAGAGAGAGAGAGAGAGGCAGCUAACACAUAUUUACGCAUAACUUUGCAUUUAAUUGCAUGAAAACCUUGGUAGCAUGUAGACCUUAUAGCUUUUAUUAUAAUUUAUAUCUAUACUGUCUGAUCAUCCUACUUUCCAGAUUUCGUGCUCAGUCUUCCAUGAAGAGAAACAAAGAACCUAAGUUAUUUUCUUUUUAUGAUUAUGAAAAAAAUUGUUAUUCUCCUGAUCAGUACUUUCGAAUGUGACCUUUUGUAUUCUAUUGGUCAUUCUUAAUUAAUUGGUAUUACUUCCAGAGUGAGUAUGGUCUAAUUCAAAGUCAUACAUGAAGUAUCAACAUUUUCAUCUACUGAUCUUUGCCUGAGUUAGAUUUCAGUACUGCAGCAUAAAGGAGAACAUCCACUUGCACAUUCAUCUUCUUUUCCCAUAAAACAGCCGAAAUCAACCUUCUUUUACUCACCUCUUUUUUAUCUCUUUGGAUAUCCUUUGUAGAUUUAUGAGGUGAUCAUCUUAAGAUUUGCAAGUUUUAGCUUGCUUGCUUCCCCCUAAUGGGUAAAAUUUCUUUCAGAAGCUUUUAAGUAACUUUUUUGUUCAAAUGUAAAAUACUGAAGAUGCUUGUGCCUUUUAUUGGCAAUGUAACAUGCGUAAUGAACAGUUUGGCUUUCAAUACGAGUAAAAAGUUGUUUCCUGUAAAUUCACAAGGUU
rnacentral:lncRNA from 1 species